rnacentral:rRNA from 1 species
CUAGUAAUCGCGAAUCAGAAUGUCGCGAUGAAUACGUUCCCGGGUCUUGUACACACCGCCCGUCACACCACGAGAGUUUACAACACCCGAAGUCAGUGGCCUAACCGCAAGGAGGGAGCUGCCUAAGGUGGGGUAGAUGAUUGGGGUGAAGUCGUAACAAGGUACC